rnacentral:sRNA from 1 species
AACUAAACCGUAUUGAAGCGAUAUCUCCCGAUCUCAAUAGUCAUUUGUUUUUUAGCAAAAGUGUGAUCGGGAACUUAACGGAAAGACGGACUACAG